UUAGAAACAAGGUCGACUAGGAGCGCAACGUCCUGUUGCAACGUCGACACUAGCACGUUCUGUGCG
rnacentral:sRNA from 1 species